ensembl:lncRNA
AGACAGCGCGCGCCCGGCCCGGCCAUGGCGCGCUGGGCACACGCGGUGCGCUCCCGGCAGCCGGGCGCGUGCGCGGCGGCCCCGCGGAGGAAACGCCACCCGGGGCCGGUCCGAGGCCCGGCGGCGGCAGAGCUGGGCACCCCGCGGGCGCUCGGCACCCGCCCCGACCCCACCCCGCGGCCCCCGCGCCGAGAUGCGCCCCCAGGCCUGGCUCUGACCCAGCGCCCGGGGGGCCCUUCGCCCCGCCCCUCCCCGCCGGUGCAGGAACUGUCCCUUCCCAGCGGCCCCCAGGAGCGCCAGGACCCUGCAGGGGUCGUUGCUCAGGUGGCCUUGGCAGCAGCCGGCCUCCCGGAGAAGGAACCUCCGAGGGACCGCCCUGGGAGGCCAAGGGCCGCCGGGCUGGGGAGAAGAGCUCGCGGCAGCGGCCCUGGCGCCUCGGGAGCGCCCGCCCCCCUUCCCUUCCCAGAACCGGCUUUUCCAGCUCGGCGGCUUCGCCAGGCUUCUGGCGGGUGGGGAUUGUUUUCCCCGGGGGCUUGGGUGGGAAGAGUGAAGACAGGGAAGCUGGCUGCCCACACAGUGCUCUGCCGUCCGCGCCCCCUCCAGAGGCGCCCCAGGGACGCCGCAGCUGAAAUAAACACGGACCCCGGGCGCUGCCUUCGCAGAGGCGCAGACGCUCCACCAUCACGACGUCGGGCCUCCGCGCAAACACCAGGAGAGGCCUCGAACGUCCUGCAAGGGCUGCCGGAGUCCGGGCAGGAACAGCUGCUGUGGGAGAACCCCCGCUGGACUGAAGUGAGCCUGGGGAGCUGCUCCAGGAUGUGCACUUGGACUGAACGCCUGCUCUUCAUUCCCCUGAGUCCUUCGGCCGCAGGGUUUUCUGGGAGGAAUCCCACGGCCAGGAGGGGCCCACUUGACAGGUGCUUCUCUGAAGGAUGGAAAAAUCGAUGCCCGCAGAAGAGCGGGCUCAUGGAAGGUACGGACAGCGCAGUGAGAAGACCCAGGUCCCGGGGGAGGCAGGCGCCCGGGGGCCUGCCGGCCUGGCGCUGGCUGUUCCCCGGCUCCCAGAACAAACUCAGAGGCGGGCGUGGGCAGCCCGGAAGCCAGCGAUGUGGUUUUGUCUUUUAAGAUUUUUGUUCUGAUUACAAAAGCUGUAUAUGUUAACGUAGAAAAUAAAAAUUACUGAAUCCAUCCCCAGAGGUAACCUCCCUGCCAACGUGUGUAGUAAACCCUUCCAGCCUCUGCACAUCGAAUGCACUUUUUAUUUUUGCAAAAAUAGGACAUGCUCAGCUGCUUUUUUCAAAUUCAACUCUCUGCCACCAACAUCUCUCUGUGCCGUUUCCUGGCGCAACAUCAUUGUGUCUGAUGGCUGCACCACGAGUCGUCCUGGUGGAUGGUGGAGGCCCCACAAAGGCCUUGGAGUCAGCGUCUCGGCCCCUUGGCUGUGUGACCUCAGGCAGGUGGCCUGCACCCUCUGGCCUCCCUGGUCCUCCUCUGCGUGAUGGGGUACUGAUGCCUGCCCUACAGCCUGGUGGCGAGGAUUACAGGAGGAAAGAGGCAGAAAUCACGCAGUCCACGCAGAGCACAUCGAAGGCAUUCCAUCAGUGAUGGCUAUUAUUAUUUUUUGUCUGUAUUGUUAUACAGCUAAACCAUCAUUCUUUAGCCAGUCCUCUGUUAAGGAACAUUUAGGUUGUUUAUUCGGUUUCCCUUCAAGAAGAAGGCAUCAGUGGAUAUCCUUGCCAAGAAAUCUUUGACAAAUCCUCAAUGAUUAAUUUUGAGUGUUUUCUAGGAGGAGAGCGAUGCGCCCUGGGAAAGCAGACUGAGGAAUGUGGCCUCCUCCUGCUGAGCAACGUCAACCAAACUUUGCAACAACAACAAAAGUAAUUAAUCUUGAAAGAAAGAAGGAAUGGGAGAUGCCCAGGUGCUGGAAGAUGGGAGGGAAAAACCAGAACCGGAAGCUAUUCCAUGACUGAGGACCCCAAAAAGGCAAGAUCCUCAGUGAAGAGAGCUCACAGCUGAAAAUAGAGACCACAGGCUGGAACGAUCUACCACGAGGGAGAGUCAGCAGACAAAACAAGAAGGGUCAGUCCUCAAGAAACUGAGAUAACAGCACAGCCCAAAAGAGACUACAACAUGAAUGCUUUAAAUUAUUUUUAAAAAAUUAAAAACGCGUAAGAAAAUUAAAAGACACCGUGGAAAAAGAAGAGGCAGACGUGAAGGAAAAACAAGGAUCUAAAAGUGAAAAAUGCAGUUGUUGAAGUUAACAUUUCAACGAAUGGGUCGAAUAGCAGAUUAGACACAGCUGGAGAAAUGUUCACACACUGAAAGACGGAACUGAGGAAAUUACCCAGCAUGCGGUCAACAAAGAUAGAGAAACAGAAUGAAAAUAAAAACUAACAAAAUAGAGUAAGAAAGUCCAACCCACGCCUCAGAGAGGACCUGAAAGGACACACACUAGGGAGAGAAUGGAGGGGAGAGAUAUUCAACGUGAUAAUGUCUGAGAAGAUUCCGGAAGUGAUGAAAGACACAACUCCUUAGAUUUAAGAAGUGGGUCAGUCCCAAGAAGGAUGAAUAACAGUGAGUCUGCACCUAGAUAUAUGUACCAAAGACAAAGAAAGUGACUUAGAGCAACCAGAAGGAGAGACCAGAUUACCUCAUGCCCGUCGUAAAAGCAUAGUGUUCCAACACUUUAUACGUUAGCUCUUUAAGUCUUCAGAAUAACUCUCUUAGUAUUCUUAUUAUCCACAUUUUAAGGAUUGAAAAAUCAAGGCACAGAAAGUUUAAGUGAUCUUCAUUACUUCAUGCUACUUAAGUAAUUUUGGUUGCGACCAUGGCCCCUGAGGAGUCAUGCUUCCUCAUGACCACACCCUUGUGUGGUGCGACUUCACUGCUCCUCCCCAAGAGGACACUCUUGCUGUGAAGGAGAGGCCACUCUCCUCCCGCCUUGAGUCUAGACUGGC